UACGAAGGGGGCUAGCGUUACUCGGAUUGACUGGGCGUAAAGGGCGCGUAGGCGGUUUGUACAGUCAGACGUGAAAUUCCUGGGCUCAACCUGGGGGCUGCGUUUGAUACGUGUGAUCUAGAGUGAGGAAGAGGGUCGUGGAAUUCCACGUGUAGCAGUGAAAUGCGUAGAGAUGUGGAGGAACACCGAUGGCGAAGGCGGUCUCCUGGGGCAUUCUUGACGCUGAGGCGCGAAAGCUGGGGGAGCGAACGGG
rnacentral:rRNA from 1 species